rnacentral:rRNA from 1 species
UACGUAGGGGGCAAGCGUUGUCCGGAAUCACUGGGCGUAAAGAGCGUGUAGGCGGCCCGAUAAGUCCGCCGUGAAAGUCCAGGGCUCAACCCUGGAAUGCCGGUGGAAACUGUCGGGCUGGAGUCCGGAAGAGGCGAGUGGAAUUCCUGGUGUAGCGGUGAAAUGCGCAGAUAUCAGGAGGAACACCAAUGGCGAAGGCAGCUCGCUGGGACGGUACUGACGCUGAGACGCGAAAGCGUGGGGAGCAAACAGG